rnacentral:rRNA from 1 species
UAGGGAAUCUUCCACAAUGGGCGCAAGCCUGAUGGAGCAACACCGCGUGAGUGAAGAAGGGUUUCGGCUCGUAAAGCUCUGUUGUUAAAGAAGAACACGUAUGAGAGUAACUGUUCAUACGUUAACGGUAUUUAACCAGAAAGUCACGGCUAACUACGUGCCAG